rnacentral:lncRNA from 1 species
GAAAGGGGAGAUGAAAAUGCAGCUAUAACAGAUGAUGGAUUACGCAAAUGAUAAGAAAGUGGCUGCCACUGAAGCCCUAAAUGAUGGUGAACCGUAGAAAGCCAUUGACUUAUUCACAGAUGCCUUCAAGCUGAAUCCUCUCUUGACCAUUCUACAUGCCAAAGAGAGCCAGUGUCUUCAACGAAUUACAGAAGCCAAAUGCUGCCAUCUGAUAUUGUAACAGAGCCAUUGAAAUAAAUCCUGAUUCAGCCCAGGCUUACAAGUGGUGAGCCUUACAAGCGCUUUUCACACACAGACUUCUGGGCCACUGGGAAGAAGCAGCCCAUGAUCUUGCCCCUUGUCUGUAAAUUGGAUUACAAAGAUGCUAGCACAAUGCUGAAAGAAGUUCAACCUAGGGCCUAGAAAAUUGCAGAACAUCAGAGAAAGUAUGAGCAAAACCAUGAAGAGUGAGCGAUCAAAGAAAAAAUAGUUAAAAAGGCUCAGAAAAGAGCAUGAGAGAGCCCAGAGGGAUCAGGAACUCAGUAGGCUCUCUUUUCCAGCUGGCUUUCCUGUGGGAAGGCCUGUUAAUGUUCAUGAAGGAAUGCCUGGAAUGGCAGGAAUGCCUGAACUCAAUGACAUUCUUAGUGAUCCAGAGGUUCUUGCAGCCAUACAGGGUCCAGAAGUUAUGGUGGCCUUCUAGGAUGUGGCCUACAACCCAGCAAGUAUGUCAAAAUACCAGUAAAAUGGAAAGGUUACAAAUCUCAUUAGUAAAUUGUCAGCCAAAUUUGUAGGUCAAGCGUAA